UAUAUCCAUGGUAACAGUAUCGCAAAACACACUCACACUUCAUCAUCCACAUCUCAAUCUCUCUAUCUCUCUCAACACCACACACUCACACACACUUUCUCCCUACCAUGGCCUCCCAACCCGCCUGGGCCGAACUUCUGGGCCACAAAGACUGGGCCGGCCUUCUCGACCCCCUCCACCCCUCCCUCCGCACCCUCAUCCUCCGUUGCGGCGACUUAAUCCAGGCCACCUACGACGCCUUCAACAACGACAAGAACUCACCGUUCUGCGGCUCCAGCCGCUACGGCAAGACCGCCUUCUUCCGAAAGGUCAUGCUCGACGACGCCGACCACUACAACGUUACAGCGUUCCUCUACGGCACCGCCAGAGUCUCCGUUCCCGAGGCCUUUCUCCUCCACUCGCAUUCGCGCGAGGCCUGGGACCGCGAGUCCAACUGGAUCGGGUAUGUCGCCGUCACGUCGGACAGCCGCUCGAAGGAGCUCGGGCGGAGAGAGAUCUACGUGGUGUGGCGCGGCACCACGAGAGACAUGGAGUGGAUCAACGUCUUCGGCGCCAGCCAAGAGUCCGCUUCAGCACUGCUCAACGCGGAAAGCGUCAAAGAGUUGAAGGCAAGAAACAAGGACGGAAACAGCAGUAGUGACGAUGAAGACGAUUCAGAAACACCAAAGGUGAUGUUAGGCUGGCUCACGAUCUAUACCUCAGACGAUCCAAAAUCUCCUUUCACGAAAACCAGCGCGAGAACACAAGUUCUUUCUCAUGUGAAAUCCCUGUUAGAACGAUACAAAUCUGAGAAUCCGAGUGUGUUGAUCAUGGGACACAGUCUAGGCGCAACCCUAUCGAUAGUGAGUGGGUUUGACUUGGUGGAAAACGGGGUAACGGAUGUCCCGGUCACCGCAAUUGUGUUUGGGUCUCCCCAGGUUGGAAACAAGGCGUUCAAUAACAGGUUCAAGAAGAAGGGAAACCUGAAGGUUCUGCACGUGACGAACGUGAUCGAUUUGAUCCCGCACUACCCUGGGAGAUUGUUGGGGUACGAGCACACGGGAGAGGAGUUGGUGAUCGACACGCGGAAGUCGCCGAGCUUGAAGGAGUCGAAGAACCCAAGCGACUGGCACAACUUGCAAGCGAUGCUGCACGUGGUGGCAGGGUGGAACGGGGUGCGUGGGGGAUUUGAGUUGAAAGUGAAGAGGAGUUUGGCUCUGGUGAAUAAGUCGUGUUCAUUUCUGAAGGAUGAGUGUGGCGUGCCUGAGUCCUGGUGGGUGGAGAAGAACAAGGGAAUGGUGAAGAGGGAGGAUGGCGAAUGGGUUUCAAAUGCACCAGAUGAGGAGGACGUGCCUGUGCCUGAACAAAUCUAAGCCUAUUAUGAGGGGAGAAUAAUACUUGAGCAAGCUGAGCCUGAGUAAGCUUCUUAUCCAUCCUAGCUUGCAUUAUAGCCUUCUUAAGCUCAGUUGGUACUUUCUCAUCUGUACACAAAACUCCAAUCAGAGGCCAUAAUUUUUGUUUAAGAAAUCUAAAACUUGAACAACAGUGCCACUGCUCACCAUAAUUCUCUGGUCCAUUAAACAGACUAUGAAAUCAUAUGAAUCCAUAAUAUGCACAAUCAGUGAAAAAUAAAAAUGUAGAGAGCAACAACUUCAAUCUUGUUUUAUGCUCCUCAAGCCCAAGGAUUUAAUAUCAAAACCUAGAAUUAAUGAUCCAGUGACCCCGAGAAGUUCCACGUCUCAUCAAGAAAUAGCCAAAAUACACAUGGGUAUGUGAAACAAAUUGAAUGCACGCAGGACUCAAAUUUAUAAUGACAAAAUUUGAAAAAAUAGUAUCAUUCAACUUAGAAAUCGCACAUAGGUCAAUUCUUGAAGAAAAAUCUUUAAUUUUGUUGGGGAAGAGGGUUACUAUCAUGAAGUUUUUCCUCGUGUCUGAAUCUAUGCCAUCAUUUCUACCAUGUUAGCCAUACAUUUUCUUAUUUUGUGCUUAGGACAAAGAACUAACAUUGAUUUCUAUCAUCUAUCAUUUAUAUCACAUCUCUAACACACCCCAAAUCUAUUUAGUUUUAAGCAUGAUUAAUGCUCAGGCUCCCUUACCGUAGAACAGAUUAAACUUUUUAUCAGAAGAAUGAGGACCGCAGGAAUCAAACUCUAGGUCACUUGCUCACAGCGACUCUGAUACCAUGACAUUAACCAAUUACCCAAAAAUCUUGAGUGGUUUGGGAAGAUGCAUGAAUGAUUCUACAUAGCAUCUCUAACAAUUACACCACCAAACACUUUGCCUUGACAUCUCAAAAAAGUUAUUAGCAAACACAUUUCUAGCUAUUGUGAAAUUAUAACGGUGACACAGUGGAACCUUCAAUCUACCUACCACAUAAUCACUAUUCAUUGAAAAAAACAGAACCUCCAUAACCUAGAAAGAGUCAAAAGACAAUAAAAUAAAACUACCAAAAAGAACAUGCUCCAAGAAAAAUUGUGUAGUUGACAAUACUAAAAAGCAGGACAAGGAAGCCACUGCAGGAAUAUCCCCUCAAUGCAAACACCCCAUAUGGACCACAAUAUUGUAUUAUACAUAAUUCACCUCUUUAUUCCUCCCAUAUAACCGUAUAUUCACAGGUAGAUGCACCCAUGUUUUUAUUGGUAAAAAACAUAAGAAAAAGAAAAACCUAAGGGCUGUUUGAUUUCCUUAUAAAAAUUUAACACUACUCAGUAAUCAAGUUUGUCAUCUAAAAUCUGUUAGGCUUUGAAAAUCGUUCACAAAACAAGUGUUUUGAAAUCCAAAAUACAGAAAGUUGGUGAUAUUUUCUCAUCUUAUUUGUCCACGCUCUGCUUUGUGGCUUACACCACCCUCCACCAAUUGUCCAAGCAACCUUGUUUGGUUAAAUUUUGAAAACUAAAAGCAGUUUUUCAGAAGAUAAAUCAAACACAACCUAAUUCUCUGUCUAUAUAUGUUGUAAUACUCACGUGCUAGAUUCUCUGUGUCCUCAUCCAGCCUCUUGGUGUUCAAUGAAGUGCUGCUAGAGGCUGCUUUGUUUGUCCCAGCAUUAUCUGUAAGAGCAACAUUUGAACAAUCAUGAUUCAAACCAUCCAAACAAUAAAGGUCACCAACAGAAGAAAAAAAAAAAAAAACAUACAAACAAACACACGCACAAAAGACACACCGAUAAGCAUUUUAUGCCAAAUCAUUUAGCUCUUGCUUUUUAUGUACCCCCUUUUCCAAACUAAACAAUUAUCAAAUUCAAUUUUUUCCUAACCAUUUAAAAGAUUUAAUUUGCAAAUUAAAUCUGCUGCCUCAACACCAAAUCAUCUGCAAUAGUCACAAGAAAACACGUUCAGAUCCGAGAUUUCAAAAACAAAAAAUCGACGAUAAACUGAUGAAAUCGUAAGAAGAAAUUCAUAUUUGCAAAACAAUUAACACGCGAGGAACAAUAUUUCGAAGAUUUGUUUACUUUUUUCAUUGAGGGUACUGGAAACGAACAUUUUUUUUGGGUUUCAAUAUCGGCGCCGGCGCGGCGGGCGGCGUUGACGGCUUUCUCGUCCGUCUUGGCCGCGGCGGUGGGAGCUUUCUUGCGGAGGACGACGGGUUCCCAGUCCUGGGAAAUAGGGCCCGCACCGGACAUGUUUGUUUGUGUGUUUGUCUGGUUAUGGAAUGGUUGUGUAUUGGGUUCGUUCUGUUCGUUCGCGAAGCUUCAACGAGAGAAGGGAUGAAGGAAGAAGUGGAUUUGGAAGAUGAGAUAGCUUCUGGUAAUUAUGUUUCUCUUUUUCCGGAAAUAAUAUUUUGAGUAAUAGUAUCACAUUUUUACAUCUAUUUCACGUAUACUAUAAAACUAAAAUAUCAUAAAAAAUAAAUUUUUGUAAUUUGAAAAAAAUAAAAAAUAGAAAAUAAGAAAAUAUAAUAUCAAAUAAAUAUAAAAAAUUUAUAUAUAUCAAAAUAUUAUUUUUCAAAUUUUUUAUAUUGCUUUUAUAUCUUAGAUACCUAAUUAAAUAUUUUUUAACUAAAAUUUGAAAAGAUAAAUAGGGUGGUAUAACAAGUAACAUAUACCAUAAUAAGAAAAAAAACUAUAAUUUUAAAAUAAUAAACUAUCAUAGAAAAUUGACAGUUGGAAAGCUUGGCUAGACUUUGGAGCAAACAUCAGCCUCUAUGUCACUCUCAAUGAUUAAAAAGAUUGGUGAUGUGGAGGUCUUACCUAUGAAGAUGACUUUGCAAUUUGUAACAGAGCUCUUUCCCUGCACAUUCAUAUUAUCAUCCUGAACCCAAAAAAUUACUUUAAUAACUUUUUGAAAAUAUGCAAAAACAUGUAUACACUUCAGAUAAUCUUUUGAUUAAGAAUGUGUUUGGUAUUUUAAAACCAAAAUCCUAUACCCUCAAAAAGAAUUCCUCUCAUCCCUCAUCACGUGAGUCGUCCUCUUCUUCUGUGAAUGUAUUUUAUCUGGCACAACUCUCUUGAUUUGUGGUCUUCACUGUAAACUCGGUCCCUGCAUUUCAAAGUCAUCCCUCACUAUCUAUGGAUCGCGGUCAUCUGUUCCGGAAUCUGUGUUGGUUCGUUUGGUGUUGGUCGUUAUCGCCUUCGGUGGUGUGAUGGUGUUCGGACCUCCUCUCUGCGGCUUUGAUUUGUGCAGAUGCUUGGAUUUGUGGUUUAAUGACGUGAAUCGAGGCUCAGAGACUUUAACCCAAAUUCGAAUUAUGGUAAAGGUCUCACUGGUGCUCGAACGCAGGUUAAAGCGUCACCGAAAUUCGAAUGCUGCAGAAGCCCUUGCCGUAUUUGGAGAUCCAGAUGGUUAGAACCAGAUGUGCAUCAUCUUCUCAUGGCGAGACUUCAUCUUCUCCUUGUGAGUCUUCAUCUUUCUCACAUCCUGAAAGGAGAAGACCUACGACAUCUGCUCAUAGAAGACGCGUUCAAGAAAGUCAUAUGGACGUGAUUGAGAAGCACGAGGAGCAUGAGCAACGUGACGAGGGUAUUGAGCACAAGUAUGACGAGGGUAUUCAACACAACUAUGCUUAGGACGAUUAUGUUGAGCAGGAGGAUGUUUAUCAAGAGGAUGUUCAUGAAGAACAAGAGAAAGAAGGUGGAUUCCCAGGAGGUUCACACGACACCUCCUUGCUUACUCACUACACCGACCACAUUGCAUUUUCCAUAUGGCAAGGUCGGGAUCGAUGGGAGAUCAAGGUGAUCUCCCAUGGGAAAAAACUAAAACACUUUGGAAUGUAUAAUGAGGCUAUUGAGCCUUUUAUCACCAUGUUAGGCUUGAGUUCAUUAGUGAAUUUAUCAUAUGAGUAUGCCGAUCAUGGAUUGAUUGUGGCCCUUACGGAGAGGUGGCAUUUGGAGACAAAUAGUUUCUACCUCCUGGUAGGUGAGAUGUCAGUUACACUAGAUGACGUCCACAAUGUCCUCCACCUACCUAUUAUGGGUUAGUUUUGUGAGGUCAAGGACUUAGAGUAUGAGGAGGCUCAAUCUCAUAUUAUGGAUUUGUUGGGCGUGGAUCGCGCCAAAGCUACAUCAAAGAUGACCAGCACACGCGGUCCAAAAGUCAAGCUGAGCUGGUUGAGGGACGUCUACCGGGAGUGUUGUGACCAAGAGCUCUAGGAGUGCGCUUCUCGUGCCUACUUGUUGCAUUUGGUUAGAUGCACAGUUUUUACAAAUAAGAGUGACACUCUCAUUAGAGUAUCGUACCUACUUCUCUUUAAAGACUUGGUUGCCUGUGGGAGAUAUGCUUGGGGAACAGCAGCACUGGCUCAUACAUAUGAGCAGCUGAGAGAUGCUAGCUUUAGUGAUGUCAGACAAAUAACUGGAUAUUCCACUCUUGUACAAGUAGAACUUAGUUAUGCAAAUUUAUUUUCAUAUCUUUUGAGAACGUUAGGAAUGCAUAACACAAUUUGAGUAAUAUUUUUGUAAAGUUGGAUAUAUAAGCACUUUCCUAAAAUGGGAAGGAAGCAAGUGUCGGGGAGGUACAACGAAAUUGACCCUCGGGCUGCAAGGUUCAUACCUCUUAGGCCUAACAAAGAAAUAAUGCAUUGAUAACCGCAAUGACCAUUAACUACAACAUCAAUAACAUCGACAAUGUAUGGAUGAAAUAUGGGAUGAAACUGAUUUAACAUCGAUAUUGGCUUUCUUGAAACUUGUUUGGCCUUCGAUUUAACUUGUGAUUUUUAUGAUGAUGGCUCUGUCCUCGAAUGCAAAGUAUCAAUGUGCUCAAAAUACGGAUGAGUCACGUUUUGUAGACCUCUCAUGACGUGGAACUUUAGUCUUUCGUGCACCUUUUGUUUUCACUUUAUGCAAAGGAGGUACCAAAGAUAUCAUUUCUGAGCAAGCAAUUUCGACUAGCUUCUGCUUGAUGUUGACCUUUUCUGCGAUGUCAACCUUGUUAAAUCGUUCCUGAACCAUAUCAAGUUCACGGUCAAUGCUAAGCUUUGGAAGCGAUUCAGUUGACACAAUACUCUUAAAACUCAAUCGGGUCUACAUAACAUGAAUUUCCCCUAGAGGAAUUAUGUUAGGCGCAUAUCGUGCUAAUUGACAUGCACAUGGUAGCCCGUAAGUUGAUCUCAAAAUGCAUCCACAACGACCACUGUCCAAACCAAUUUGAGCAUAUCAUGAAACACGUCCAACAAGUCUUCUAUAUCUAAAUCCUUUAUAUUGAUCACU